GUUAAUUCGAUGACAGGAAAUAGUAACAAGUUCAUUUGUUUUAAGAGAACUGAUGGUUUGGUGCAAAUCAGCGGCAAAUGCUUGUGAAUCCAUCCUUGAGAGUGGUACUGAAAGGGACAAGUAAGUACUGCCGGCAAAAACCGUUAUAAUACCGAGAGGCAAGUAUACGAAUGCUUGCAAUUAGGGUGGCAACGCGGAUAUGAAACUUCCGUCCCUUCA
rnacentral:ncRNA from 1 species